rnacentral:rRNA from 1 species
AUUAGAGUUUGAUCCUGGCUCAGAUUAAACGCUGGCGGCAUGCCUUACACAUGCAAGUCGAACGGCAGCACGGGGGCAACCCUGGUGGCGAGUGGCGGACGGGUGAGUAAAGCAUCGGAACGUAUCCUGGAGUGGGGGAUAACGUAGCGAAAGUUACGCUAAUACCGCAUAUUCUGUGAGCAGGAAAGCAGGGGAUCGCAAGACCUUGCGCUCUGGGAGCGGCCGAUGUCGGAUUAGCUAGUUGGUGAGGUAAAAGCUCACCAAGGCGACGAUCUAUAGCUGGUCUGAGAGGAUGAUCAGCCUCACUGGGACUGAGACACGGCCCAGACUCCUACGGGAGGCAGCAGUGGGGAAUUUUGGACAAUGGGGGCAACCCUGAUCCAGCCAUGCCGCGUGAGUGAAGAAGGCCUUCGGGUUGUAAAGCUCUUUCGGCCGGGAAGAAAUCGCUUCGACUAAUACCUGGAGUGGAUGACGGUACCGGAAGAAGAAGCACCGGCUAACUACGUGCCAGCAGCCGCGGUAAUAAU